AACUUUGGACAAUGGGGGCAACCCCGACCCAGCCAUCCCGCGUGUGCGAUGAAGGCCUUCGGGUUGUAAAGCACUUUUUGCAGGGCAGAAAAGGCGCGGGCCAAUACCCGGCGCCGCUGACGGUACCUGCAGAAUAAGCACCGGCUAACUACGUGCAAGCAGCCGCGGUAAUACGUAGGGUGCAAGCGUUAAUCGGAAUUACUGGGCGUAAAGCGUGCGCAGGCGGUUCGGCAAGAAGGAUGUGCAAUCCCGGGGCUUAACCUCGGAACUGCAUUCUUAACUGCCGGGCUAGAGUAUGUCAGAGGGGGGUAGAAUUCCACGUGUAGCAGUGAAAUGCGUAGAGAUGUGGAAGAAUACCGAUGGCGAAGGCAGCCCCCUGGGAUGAUACUGACGCUCAUGCACGAAAGCGUGGGGAGCAAACA
rnacentral:rRNA from 1 species